rnacentral:rRNA from 1 species
AACCGGGAACCUCAUGGCUUCACGGUAUUGCAAUGAGAACAAUUUAAAACCCUUAGCGAGAAUCAAGUGGAGGACAAGUCUGGUGCCAGCACCCGCGGUAAUUCCAGCUCCACUAGCGUAUAUUAAAGUUGUUGCAGUUAAACAGCUCGUAGUUGAACCUCUGUCUGGGGCUAGUUUUGGCUUUGGUCAGGCUAGUUCUAGGCAUCCGCCUACAAGACUUAGAGGGCAUUCAGUUGUUCACUAGGAGGAGUAGGCAUUUUACUUUGAAAAAAUUAGAGUGUUUAAGGCAGGCAAUCGCCCGCAUAUAUUAGCAUGGAAUAAUAGAAUAGGACACUUUUCCAUUUCGUUGGUUAUUGGAAUCGUGUAAUGAUUAAUAGGGACAGUUGUGGGCAUUUGUAUUUAAUUGUCAGAGGUGAAAUUCUUGGAUUUAUUAAAGACAAACUAACGCGAAAGCAUUUGCCAAGGAUGUUUUCAUUAAUCAAGAACGAAAGUUAGGGGAUCAAAGACGAUCAGAUACCGUCCUAGUCUUAACUAUAAACUAUUCCGACUCAAUGUUUGACUGGCUUAUAUAACCAGUUGAGCGUUGUAUGAGAAAUCAAAGUCUUUAGGUUCUGGGGGGAGUAUGGUUGCAAAGCUGAAACUUAAAGGAAUUGACGGAAGAGCACAACCAGGAGUGGAUUCUGCGGCUUAAUUUGACUCAACACGGGGAAACUUACCAGGUUAAAACAAUAGUGGGAUUGACAGUUUGAGAGCGCUUUCUUGAUUGGUUGGGUGGUGGUGCAUGGCCGUUCUUAGUUGGUGGAGUGACUUGUCUGCUUAAUUGCGUUAACGAACGAGACCUUAACCUGCUUACUAGACUGGCGAUCAUCAAUCGUUAGCUCUUCUUAGAGGGACUUUGGUUGUUUUAACUCCAAGGAAGUUUGAGGCAAUAACAGGUCUGUGAUGCCCUUAGAUAUCCUGGGCCGCACGCGUCAUACAAUGACUAGUUCAGAAAGUUUUCUCCUGACCCGAAAGGGGAUGGGUAAUCUUGAUAAUACUAGUCGUGUUAGGGAUCGAUCUUUGCAAUUAUAGAUCUUGAACGAGGAAUUCCUAGUAAGUGCGGUUCAUCAGACCGUACUGAUUACGUCCCUGCUCUUUGUACACACCGCCCGUCGCUUCUACCGAGUGGGUGGUCCGGUGAGAUAAUUGAACUUCGCAGGUAACUGAGAGGAAAGAUUAUCAAACCUAUCCACCU